CAUCAGUCAGGGGAGGAGCCAAGAUGGCUGAAUAGGAACAGCUCCGGUCUACAGCUCCCAGCGUGAGCGACGCAGAAGACGGGUGAUUUCUGCAUUUCCAUCUGAGGUACCGGGUUCAUCUCACUAGGGAGUGCCAGACAGUGGGCGCAGGUGCAAAGAGGUUGCAAUUGGUGAGUUCUGUUUGCAAAAGACCAACCACCUGGAAAUGCAAGCGUGGAAGCCAUGAGAGUGCCAAAAAAUGUGGAAGAUGGAGGCAGAGAGAACCAGACUUGAAUCCUGGCCCCACCUCUCACCCACACUCCCUGAACCUCAAGUUUUGCAUCUAUAAAACUGUGGUGAUAAUAAAA
rnacentral:lncRNA from 1 species